UGGGGAAUUUUGCACAAUGGGGGAAACCCUGAUGCAGCGACGCCGCGUGAUUUAGAAGGCCUUCGGGUUGUAAAAAUCUUUUGUAUGGGAAGAAAAUGACAGUACCAUACGAAUAAGGACCGGCUAACUACGUGCCAGCAGCCGCGGUAAUACGUAGGGGGCUAGCGUUGUCCGGAAUCACUGGGCGUAAAGGGUUCGCAGGCGGAAAUGCAAGUCAGGUGUAAAAGGCAGUAGCUUAACUACUGUAAGCAUUUGAAACUGCAUAUCUUGAGAAGAGUAGAGGUAAGUGGAAUUUUUAGUGUAGCGGUGAAAUGCGUAGAUAUUAAAAAGAAUACCGGUGGCGAAGGCGACUUACUGGGCUCAUUCUGACGCUGAGGAACGAAAGCGUGGGUAGCAAACAGG
rnacentral:rRNA from 1 species